GCUCAGGUGGUGGAAUUGGUAGACAUGCACGCUUGAGGGGCGUGUGCCGUGAGGCGUAUGGGUUCGAGUCCCAUCUUGAGCACCA
rnacentral:tRNA from 1 species